rnacentral:rRNA from 1 species
UACGUAGGGUGCAAGCGUUGUCCGGAAUUAUUGGGCGUAAAGAGCUCGUAGGCGGUCUGUCGCGUCGGCUGUGAAAACCCGGGGGCUCAACCCCGGGCCUGCAGCCGAUACGGGCAGACUAGAGUUCGGCAGGGGAGACUGGAAUUCCUGGUGUAGCGGUGAAAUGCGCAGAUAUCAGGAGGAACACCGGUGGCGAAGGCGGGUCUCUGGGCCGAUACUGACGCUGAGACGCGAAAGCGUGGGGGAGCAAACAGG